rnacentral:rRNA from 1 species
UACGGAGGGUGCAAGCGUUAAUCGGAAUUACUGGGCGUAAAGCGUGCGCAGGCGGUUUGUUAAGUCUGUUGUGAAAUCCCCGAGCUCAACUUGGGAAUUGCAAUGGAUACUGGCAGGCUGGAGUAUGGUAGAGGAAGGUGGAAUUCCCGGUGUAGCAGUGAAAUGCGUAGAGAUCGGGAGGAACACCAGUGGCGAAGGCGGCAUCCUGGCCCUGACCUGACGCUGAGGCGCGAGAGCGUGGGGAGCAAACGGG